GUGCAGCAGUCGAGAAACCUCCGCAAUGCGCGCAAGCGCGACGGGGCCAUCCCGAGUGCCGCUCGCUGAGGGCGGCUUUUCUCCGGUGUAAGUAGCCGGAGGAAUAAGGAGAGGGCAAGUCUGGUGUCAGCCGCCGCGGUAAUACCAGCUCUCCGAGUGGUGGGGACGAUUAUUGGGCCUAAAGCGUCCGUAGCCGGCUUGACAAGUCUCCCGUUAAAUCCAGCGGCCUAACCGCUGGGCUGCGGGAGAUACUGUCAAGCUUGGGGGCGGGAGAGGCCGGCGGUAUUCCCGGGGUAGGGGUGAAAUCCGUUAAUCCCGGGAGGACCACCAGUGGCGAAGGCGGCCGGCCAGAACGCGCCCGACGGUGAGGGACGAAAGCUGGGGGAGCGAACCGGAUUAGAUACCCGGGUAGU
rnacentral:rRNA from 1 species